CCCGGGGCUCCGGGGACCGUAGGGGCCGAACCUGGCACCGACUCGGGCUCCCGGAGCGCCGGGCGGUGGAAGGCGGCGCGCGUUGAACAGGAAGUGCGCGUUGUGCGGCGCCCUGUCCCACUCCACGCCGCCCCCGGGUCUCCGUGCGCUUGUCUGUCUCAGACAGGCAGACUCCGCACUCCCCGGAGCUGAUUUCUGAUCCGUCUCAUUUUGUAGUGUCUCUGUUUAGGUCUGAUCCCCGGAAACACACCCACACUGCGAUGGAAGCCCCGGGUAAAUGGCUCGGGUGAUCCAGAUUUGCUUCCUGGAACUCGGUCGCCCUGCGGCGUGGGGACCCGCAUCCCGCUCCAAAGAGACCUAUGGCCGGAAAGCUCCAUGCCCCAUGUCUGGUGGCUUCUUGACCGUCCCCAGAAGUUCUGUGGCCAUGGAGGACACCCUGGAGAAGGGCAAAGGCUGCAGACUCCCAAGUGCACAGCAGGGCCUCUUCACAGGCAGGCAGCCUUGUUACUGAGGGGACUAGGAGGAACUCUGAAACCCCAGUGCGCAGAUCCCCUCCAGGAAGAGGAGUUUCCUUUGAGCUGAAGAAAGCCUGGCUCACUCUCACUCAGGACCGGGCUUCACAAUGCCAUCAUUGCAUCAUUUUCACGUCACCCGCACAAGAAUUCCAGAAGCUGAGCCUCAGAGUCAUCCAGAACAUGUUGGUCACGUUUGUGACAGGUGUGAUUCGAGUUCAAGUUACCCACGGCUACACUCCCAUGGCACUGUAGCCAGCUAACCGCGGCAGCAUCAACGUGGGCUGAACAGUGAGAAACAACACUCACUUUCCAUUUUCUGUCCUCUUCCUCAUUUUCCUCACCUACCGUCUCUUUCCAGAUUCAUAAAGUGGUUGGUUUUAGAACUACAGAGAUGGCAAAGCACCCUGGCUUGGGUCCACUUCUUCAUUUCACUUUCACUGAGGGAGUGUGUGUGUGUGAUAGAAUACAAAUAUAUUUAUCAUCCCUCCCACGCAGUG
rnacentral:lncRNA from 1 species